UGAGGGGCAGCUGGAAGCCGUUAGGAGGUCCCUGGGUUGGAGGCGUAGUAUCACUGAACAGAGUUAACCGGCGAGAGAGAAAGGGGAAGACACGUCUGUGAUUGACUAUACUGCCCUGGUGUAGAAAGAGUUCUUUCUCACGCUGUGUGGGCUCCCGCCUUUUCUCCCCAGGUUGCAUUGUUUCUCCCCUAACUUCCUAUGUUGAAGCCCUAAUCCCCAGCAACUCAGAAUAUGACUGUAUUUGGAGACAAGACCUAUAAAAAGGUGUGGGGCCAGGAGCUCAGAGGCUGAGUGAACCAUUCAGAGCCACACAGCCAGAGAAGUGGGGAAGUAGAAACUUGCUCCCAGGCCUGGGGUACGACCCGUGUCAUCACACACAGACAGGAUGUGUGCUGUCUGAUCACUCGGGCAUCUGAGGCCAUGUCGGUCCCGGAUGGAGUGGAAUGUGAUGGGUGGAGCUUCGGCAGCCAUCUGACCACAAUGUGGAAGCGGCUUGGGGAAGAUGUGGGAGGAGCCAUGAGAGGCAAGGAGCUACCCACACCUCUCCUA